rnacentral:rRNA from 1 species
AGUGAACGCUGGCGGUAGGCCUAACACAUGCAAGUCGAACGGCAGCACAGUAAGAGCUUGCUCUUACGGGUGGCGAGUGGCGGACGGGUGAGGAAUACAUCGGAAUCUACUUUUUCGUGGGGGAUAACGUAGGGAAACUUACGCUAAUACCGCAUACGACCUACGGGUGAAAGCAGGGGAUCUUCGGACCUUGCGCGAUUGAAUGAGCCGAUGUCGGAUUAGCUAGUUGGCGGGGUAAAGGCCCACCAAGGCGACGAUCCGUAGCUGGUCUGAGAGGAUGACCGGCCACCCGGGAACGGAGACCGGGUCCAGACUCCUACGGGAGGCAGCAGUGGGGAAUUUUGGCAAAUGGGCGGAAGCCUGAUCCAGCCAUACCGGGGGGGGGAAGAAGGCCUUCGGGUUGUAAAGCCUUUUGUUGGGAAAAAAAAGGAGGAGGUUUAUACCCCCGUGUUUCGGAGGUACCCAAAAAAAAAAGCACGGGUAAAUUUGGU